rnacentral:misc_RNA from 1 species
AACGCAUAUUGCGCCCUCUGGUAUUCCGGAGGGCAUGCCUGUCCGAGCGUCAUUGCAACCCCUCAAGCCCGGCUUGUGUGUUGGACCUUCGUCCCCCGUGGACGGGCCCGAAAUGCAGUGGCGACAUGGCGAUCUAACGUCCUGAGUGCAUGGGAAUCCGUUCUCGCUCCAGGGGCAGGGUCGACCGUGGCUGCCUAAAUUCUUUCUCAGGUUGACCUCGGAUCAGGUAGGAGUACCCGCUGAACUUAA